UUGACGGUUUUUGAAGCAAGAACCGGGGUUUGAUGACAGUUCGAAAGGUUGGGAGUUCACAGCAACUGUAGUACAAAGAGCGGGCCAACGUUGCUUAAUUCACGCCGAAGCGUAUAGGCGUCCCACAGCACAUCCAAACGGCGCAGCCCAAAUACCCUCCAUUUCUCAGGCACCCCACCGUCUCUCUCUCUCUCUCUCUCUCUCUCUCUCCCUCUCUGACUUUCUCCCAUCUUCUUCUCCGACCUUCAAAUGCAUUUUUCGACUUUUACGAAGACCCUGCCCUGGCGACAUUCAUCAAUGAGACCAGAACCGGUAUUCGUGUUCAGCCCUCUUCAUGUCUAGCCCUUCAUCCAAUUCUCAUUGAUACAACAAACCUCCCGGGACUUCCAAAGAUUUCGCUGCCAACUAUAUUUGCAAAGUAAGUUCAAACUUUUCCAUCCUCUUUCCCCAAUCUUCAUCAAAUACAAUCUACAUUAGUAGAGGCUUUGGCAAGGUAUAUCUCUGCUCUUUAAUGGAUGUCAACACCUACAUCAGACUUAUCCCUUCAAAGGAUUUCAAUUGUUGAUAUUUUGCACACCAAUUGUUCGAUGAAAUUACUCAACAUUUUUGGGUGCUGAAUUUUAGGGAUUUCGUUUCCCUUGGUGCGAAGUGACCACAAAUUAGCCAGUUUUAGUUACAAGUUUUUUGAGUUUUGGCUUCAUGUGGAGCAAGCCCGACUCCAUUCCUUUAAACUCAUAACUGGUACCUGUUUGUUUAUGAUAGGUUUACCUUCUAAUUGACUGAAUCUACCAUCUUUUUCCUCUACCAAUCCUGUCUUAGGAGUGGAGUUUUAUAUUUGAAGAGUGAGUAUUCAAUGCUGGAUAAAGCAUGUUGGUAUUCAAAUCUUCUCCUCUGUUUUCUAGAAGGGUGUAUAACUUUGUUAUGUGGAGUUGCCUCGAUCCUACUUGUAACGUACAAAUCAUAACGGGUUCACCUAUGUUGGACAUUGAUAAGACAUGUUAGAGCCCUUGAAUAAAAAAGAACAAGUUUUGUCUUUAAUAUAUACUGCUUUAACCUACACCUUAUAGGCUUAAGUUAAGUGGAUACAAAUGGCAAACAUCGUAGAAUAGGCCAAGGUGCAACUAAGAAAUCAUAUUGGCACCAUCUAUCACUACAUCCAAGUGUACGUUUGCAUAACAUCUCCUAGGCUAUACGUUGUUCAUAUGCAACCUCAAUGGACUUCCAUAUAUUCUGAUUGUCAACUGCUGCAAAACUCUUGGACUCGAAGUUGGAUUUAACUAAGUAUUGUUAGGCUCAUUUUCUUGUGAUCUUACGUACAUUUUAUAUUGGAGUUCCGCAUGGAGCAGCCCCUACGUAUAGUUUGGUUCUUACGGUUUUGUCCAUUUUGGCCUUGGAACAUCGCCUGGUUAUAGAGACUAUGCUCAUUAAUUGGAACAAUCCCCGGUCGGCAGCAGGGAUUCAGUCUUCAAGAAUUUGCGGAUCAAUGGUUUGGAAACAAAAUUGAUUAUGGAAAAGGCAGGCAGAUGCAUAUCCAUUAUGGUUCCACUAAACCCAAUUAUGUCAAUGUUUCAUCAGAUUGCAUAAGGUAUAUAAUGCUAUAGAUUUGAAAAUCGGCACAAAGGACAAUAUUGAACUUUGUUUAGACGUAAGGGAGAACCCCGGUCACAAUAGCUGGUUAUUGUAUUGCAAUACACAACUUCCCCAUGCUGUUGGAACUACAUAUUCUAUGAAGAUGGAUGGAUGAGAUGCAUGCACAGUCCCCUUUUUUGGGGACGCUGGCACCAGUGAGAUAAGUAUGUAAUUAUGUAAGAUAACCCAUUUCCCGUUUUGUUUGAUUUACAAUCAUUUUAUCAUUAGAUCAAUAGGAGUCUUGGAAUUUCCAUUUAGAUAUCCCGUAUUUCUUAGAAAAAUCUUGUUUCCAUUUGUUAAGCUUAGCAUACUAGCUAGCCUUCUCUUUAUAUGACUUGGUAUAAAGAGACUUCAUUCGAUUUGCAAUUAUCUUGGUUUUGACCCUCAAGUUUAAUGGUUUUGUGUUUAUCCGUCGACAUCUAUCCUCUUUAGUCAGAAAGGUUGAGGACUCAAAGGUAAUGGCUGAUGCCACAUGUCUACCUCCAUGAGUGUAUGAUAUUGAAGAAUUCAAGAAUAGUCACGGGCGGCUUUGAAUUCCUAUUCAGGCUUUUCUAGACCACAUAAAGUUAAGAAAAUCUCGAUUUGCAAUUGUUUCAUUCAAAUGAACAGUUUUUUUUGCCAUUAGAUGAAGUGAUUUCAUGGCUGUUAUAUGUCCUAUUAAUAUCAAAAUUCAAUCUAGCUGAAUUUGUCAUAUUAUCACCUAAAUUUUAAUACAAGAUCCUGAUAGGGAGAUUUUCAAACGGCUUUUAUUUUUGUGGCGGUUAUUGAGUCCCGAGUUUUUUUUAGUAGCCGGAACAACAGUGGGCCAUCAACACCCGUCUCAGAUCAUUGUGAAAGUAUUUUACCUCUUGACUUUCCCUUUUCCAGGUUCUCAUUUUAAGGUUACAUUGUUGUUCUAGGUUUUUAUUCAUUGCUAUGGUAUUGCUAUUAGAGGACAGGCAUAUGGAGUUCGUACUUUUCGUGUAAACGGUAAUGAUGCUCUUGACAUCUUUAGUGCAGUUGAAGCAACGCAUAGGAUAGCCAUAAAUGAGCAUAGGUCUAUCUGGCUUGAGGUAACCUAAUGAAUCAGUUUUAAUCAUUACUUGUAAUGCGAAAAAGAGUUAGAGAAGAUUUCGUUUAGAGUUUUUGAAGUUAAUUGCAUUACACUUGCGAAGUUUUGAUUCGAUUUUCAAUGGAUAGACCAGGAAAUCACUCCACUUCUGGUGAUUCCACCAAAUUUUAUCCAGAUAAAGAGAUCGACUGGUGGAGAGAGCAAGACCCUGUGUCCAGAUUUUGAAAGUGAAUUGAAACUAAUUGUUUGUGGAGUGAUGAGGCCGAGUCUAAGCGUCGAACCUCUAUCAAGAACGAGGUAAUUGAGAAAUUUGCAAAGAUUGAUAUGCUUCUCAAAGUCAAGGGGUAGACGAAGAGUAGAAGUUCAAAGUCCAAGUACACAAGAACAAUGAAGGUAUCAUUGGUUGAAUCAGAUGGAGCAAUAUAAUUCUUGGACUCAUUCAAAAGUAAGAAUCAUGCAGUCGCUUGACAAACUAAUAACAUUUUGUGUUAGCUCCCCUAACUCUUUUUGGCCAUUAGAAGGGUCUUUGGAUUCUUGUUUAUGCUUUCAAGUUUUUGAGGGGUCCAACAGGAUGGCAGUGUUUAUGUGCCACUUGGAUCCUUGUGUCCGUUUGAAAAUGCUGGAACUGCUUCCCAACAGUUGUAUGCUAAUAUAGGUUUUUUGAACUAAGGAAAUAAGCUUCUAAAUUGUAACUACUGCUGAAUUUGGCAUUUGAAAUGCAGAAACUACUAUUCUAAUUGCUGA